ACUAGGCAGGGGUUUGGUAGUCUGGCGGCGUUGGUACUCGUUCCCCAAAGCGCUUUUGACACAGCUCGAGUUCCUGAAGAGGAACGUCUCUAGGUUACGUAUGUAACCCUAGUUCCUCGAGGGAUCGAGACGCUGCGUCUCGGAGCCAUACCCCCGGCACCCCUGCCGGCGCUUGCUGGUACUCGAAGCUGACGCCAGCUGCGUGGCACGUGCUUUUAUAGCUUCCUGGUCGCUUACGUCACUCCGCCGGUGACGUCACGCUCUUCCAUUGGUCUGAUUUCACACGAUAUUCAGAGUCGCGCACGCUGGGCGCGUUCCCCAAAGCGCUUUUGACGCAGCGUCUCGUUCCCUCAAGGAACUAGGGUUACAUACGUAACCUAGAGACGUUUUGCAAACACUUUUUCAAUUAUUGGUAAAAGUUUUCUUUUAAUGUAUAUUCAGUAAAGUUGUUACUGAAUAUAAGGUUUAAAGUCAAAGGCAGUGUACUUUGCACCCCGUUGCAUCUAUAAAAAUGUUUUCUGUAUAAACUUACUUUACAGUCAUCUGCCACAGCUGCCUAAGUCCAAAGGAUGACCAUUGCCGAGCACACCUCGCUUGAUUGUCCAAGGUGCUUCCUGGGCAUCAACCCUGAUACAGGAUCUAAGUCCAAGAAGAAGCAGGGAGGCAUCAAUCAGCAAGUUUGUUCUCUGCUGCGCAAACUUGUGGAUUUUGAAUGGAUGACAACAUAAUUAGAUUUUGUGUUAAAGAAAAACUCCGGUAAAUUUUAACAUUGAGCUAAUUUUUUGGUAAAUCUGGAGUGCUGUCAGUACAGAGAACUACACUUGUUAUCCUCUUUUUAAUAUUUGCACCCUGUUGACUUCAAUGGGACAAUGUUUAAACCUGCUUUUAGCCUCUUAACAUCCUUGAUUAGCCGUGUUUCCACUAUCGAGCUAAGACCGGGCGUGCCAGUGCGUGCCAGGACCAGUCGCGUUUCCACUGUCACUUCCGUGGCUUGAUCGUGCCUCGCCGGGGCUUCCUCGGGGCCAACGGCCAGGGUUUUUUGGCCCGACAAAAACCUUGGGCCACUUUAGUAAAUCAGUUGAGCUCAAAACUCACUUUCAGUCAGCAGCGAAUGUUUGAAAUAACUUGAUUGAUGUUUGGUUUGUGAUCGUGCAUGUUCCAGUGACUUAUUUCUUAGUUUUCUGAUAAAUUCUCUUUGAUGUUGAAAUUUUGAGGUUGCAUGACGUUGUUCUGAGAGGCGUGUAAAGGGCGUGUUUUAGUGACCUGCAGCGGUGCUUCAAGCUCCACUUUGGAAACCCUGCGCUAUUCUGGCCUCGGUGCUACUGGCCCGGGGCUAUGAGCCCCACCCGGCCCGCUUUAAGCCCUGGCUCGCACUGGCCCGACAGUGGAAAUGCGGCUCUUGAUGUGUCAUCACAAGUGCACAGCCAAUGAGAGUGAUUCCUUCAGAGUGAACACGAGUGAAUCUGACUGAAGUAAAUGUGAAAAAUAUGAAUAAAAAUGAAGUUUUUGUUUAGUAUAUGUUUAGUUACCUAUGAUCACGCACGUGAACUUGACAAUCGACUACUUUGGACUUAAACCGAAAACAGGAUGUAAAUACAGGUAUGAGCGCUGGCCGAAAUAACUUAAUUUUAAUUCAGAUUUUUCACAUCUACUGCAGUCAGAUUCACUCGUGUUCACUCUGAAGGAAUCACUCACAUUGGCUGUGCACUUGAAAUGACACAUCAAGGAUGUUAAGAGGGUAAAAGCAGGUUUAAAAUAUUGCCCCAUUGAAGUCAACAGGGUGCAAAUUUUAAAAAGAGGAUAACAAGUGUAGGCAACACUGAUUUUUGUCAUUGUUCUCUGUACUGACAGCACUCCAAAUUUACUAAAAAAUUAGCUCAAUGUUUACAUUG
rnacentral:lncRNA from 1 species